UCGAGGGUAGCCUAGUGGACAUGGCAUCUGCCCGGUAAGCGGAACACUGUGGGUUCGAUUCCCAUUUUCCGUU